UUUUGUAUUUCUUUAUCUUUUCGUCUGACAUGUUUAAUUCAGAGCCAUGUAACAAAAUACUGUAAACCAAUAUAUUUUUGCAGAUCUCUAAUCCACCUUCAACUACAUGGUACAGUAUAUAUAUAUAAACUAGUGUAAGGCUUAGCAUUAAAAGGGUCAAAAGGAAAACCUGAAACCAUUGAAAAGAGAAAACAAGCAGUCUGAUGCUUAAAAAGAUAAACAAAAACAAAUGUUCAAUGUAUUAUACACAGUAACUACUGACAACCAUUGUGUAACAGGAACCUAGCUUUAGCAGGUGCAUGAAGAAUUAGCAAUGUUAAACAUGAAUGUGACCAACUUGACUGUGGUUUAAAAAACUUCCUCAUUCAAAAC
rnacentral:lncRNA from 1 species